rnacentral:rRNA from 1 species
ACGGAGGGUGCGAGCGUUGUUCGGAAUCACUGGGCGUAAAGCGCAUGUAGGCGGGUCGGUGUGUCGGGGGUGAAAUACCGGGGCUCAACCUCGGGACUGCGCCCGAAACUACCGGUCUUGAGUUCGGGAGAGGAACGUGGAAUUCCGGGUGUAGAGGUGAAAGUCGUAGAUAUCCGGAGGAGCCCCAGAGGCGAAGGCGACGUUCUGGACCGAUGCUGACGCUGAGAUGCGAAAGCGUGUGGAGCAAACAG